rnacentral:rRNA from 1 species
UACAGAGGGUGCAAGCGUUAAUCGGAAUUACUGGGCGUAAAGCGCGCGUAGGUGGUUUGUUAAGUCGGAUGUGAAAGCCCAGGGCUCAACCUUGGAAUGGCACCCGAAACUGGUAGGCUAGAGUACGGUAGAGGGGUGUGGAAUUUCCUGUGUAGCGGUGAAAUGCGUAGAUAUAGGAAGGAACAUCAGUGGCGAAGGCGACCACCUGGACUAAUACUGACACUGAGGUGCGAAAGCGUGGGGAGCAAGCAGGAUUAGAUACCCCAGUAGUCC